rnacentral:sRNA from 1 species
AUUGAUUACACAGGGAAGCUUUCAGGA